rfam:Triticum aestivum genome assembly, contig: Triticum_aestivum_CS42_TGACv1_scaffold_064051_1DL
UACAUACCCCCUCCGUCUGGAAUUACUUGUUGGAGAAAUGGAUGUAUCUAAACGUAUUUUGGUUCUAGAUACAUCAAUUCUUAUCAAUUUUGGUGACAAGUAAUUUCGGACGGAGGGAGUAUAUC